CCUACGGGUGGCAGCAGUGGGGGAUAUUGCACAAUGGGGGGAACCCUGAUGCAGCGACGCCGCGUGGGCGAUGGAGUGCUUCGGCAUGUAAAGCCCUAUCAGCAGGGAAGAAAAUGACGGUACCUGACUAAGAAGCCCCGGCUAAAUACGUGCCAGCAGCCGCGGUAAUACGUAGGGGGCAAGCGUUAUCCGGAUUUACUGGGUGUAAAGGGAGCGUAGGCGGCCUAGGAAGCCUGAUGUGAAAUGCCGGGGCCCAACCGCGGGACUGCAUUGGAAACUGGCAGGCUGGAGUACCGGAUAGGGGGGCGGAAUUCGUAGUGUAGCGGGGAAAUGCGUAGAUAUUAGGAAGAACA
rnacentral:rRNA from 1 species